rnacentral:rRNA from 1 species
GGCCGCGGGAAUUCGAUUCAGGCCUAACACAUGCAAGUCGAGCGGUAGAGAGAAGCCUGCUUCUCUUGAGAGCGGCGGACGGGUGAGUAAUGCCUAGGAAUCUGCCUGGUAGUGGGGGAUAACGUUCGGAAACGGACGCUAAUACCGCAUACGUCCUACGGGAGAAAGCAGGGGACCUUCGGGCCUUGCGCUAUCAGAUGAGCCUAGGUCGGAUUAGCUAGUUGGUGAGGUAAUGGCUCACCAAGGCUACGAUCCGUAACUGGUCUGAGAGGAUGAUCAGUCACACUGGAACUGAGACGCGGUCCAGACUCCUACGGGAGGCAGCAGUGGGGAAUAUUGGACAAUGGGCGAAAGCCUGAUCCAGCCAGGCCGCGUGUGUGAAGAAGGUCUUCGGAUUGUAAAGCAAUGUAAGUUGGGAGGGAGGGCAUUAACCUAAUACGUUAGUGUUUGACGUACCGACAG